CAUUGGAGACGAUGUCCUUCAGUUAGGCUGGCCCCAGAACAGGUGCUGCAUGGCUGUCGUCAGCUCGUGUCGUGAGAUGUUGGGUUAAGUCCCGCAACGAGCGCAACCCUCGCCCUUAGUUGCCAGCAUUUAGUUGGGCACUCUAAGGGGACUGCCGGUGAUAGGCCGAGAGGAAGGUGGGGAUGACGUCAAGUCCUCAUGGCCCUUACGGGCUGGGCUACACACGUGCUACAAUGGUGGUGUCAGUGGGCAGCGAGACAGCGAUGUCGAGCUAAUCUCCAACGCCUCUCAGUUCGGAUUGCACUCUGCAACUCGAGUGCAUGAAGUUGGAAUCGCUAGUAAUCGCAGAUCAGCA
rnacentral:rRNA from 2 species